GAUGAAGAACGUAGCGAAAUGCGAUAAGUAGUGUGAAUUGCAGAAUUCAGUGAAUCAUCGAAUCUUUGAACGCACAUUGCGCCCUUUGGUAUUCCAAAGGGCAUGCCUGUUCGAGCGUCAUUUGUACCCUCAAGCUUUGCUUGGUGUUGGGCGUCUUGUCUCUAGCUUUGCUGGAGACUCGCCUUAAAGUAAUUGGCAGCCGGCCUACUGGUUUCGGCGCGCAGCACAAGUCGCACUCUCUAUCAGCAAAGGUCUAGCAUCCAUUAAGCCUUUUUUUCAACUUUUGACCUCGGAUCAGGUAGGGAUACCCGCUGAACUUAAGCAUAUCAAUAAGCGGAGGA
rnacentral:misc_RNA from 1 species